rnacentral:rRNA from 1 species
GUCAGAGGGUGCAAACGUUGUUCGGAAUUACUGGGCGUAAAGCGCGUGUAGGCGGCUAUGCAAGUCGGGCGUGAAAUCCCUCGGCUCAACCGAGGAAGUGCACUCGAAACUGCGUAGCUAGAGUCUCGGAGAGGAAGGUGGAAUACUUGGUGUAGAGGUGAAAUUCGUAGAUAUCAAGUGGAACACCGGUGGCGAAGGCGGCCUUCUGGACGAUGACUGACGCUGAGACGCGAAAGCGUGGGGAGCAAACAGG